rnacentral:lncRNA from 1 species
GAAUUGAGCAAAGAGUAAGAACAUGGAACUUACUGAUUGAGGCUCCCCUUUAACAAAUAAUAGCAAGUCAUCUGCAAAACUCAAAUGAGUGAUUCCCAACUUCUUACAGCCUGGAUGGUAUGUGAAGCUUUUAGUAUGUUUUAAUUCUGUCAAAGAUCUACUAAGAUAUUCCAUUAUAAUAGCAAACAGGAAGGGAGAUAUUGGAUC